rnacentral:rRNA from 1 species
GACGAACGCUGGCGGCGUGCUUAACACAUGCAAGUCGAACGGGCCCGCCCCUGUUUUUGGGGGUGGGUUGAGUGGCGAACGGGUGAGUAUCACGUGAGUAACCUGCCCCCUGCUCCUGGAUAACUGCUUGAAAGGGCGGCUAAUACGGGGUGUGCCGGCUGGUCCGCAUGGGCCUGGUCGGGAUAGUUUCAUCUUCGGGUGUUUCGGUGGGGGAUGGGCUCGCGGCCUAUCAGCUUGUUGGUGGGGUGAUGGCCCACCAAGGCGGUGACGGGUAGCCGGCCUGAGAGGGUGGGCGGCCACACUGGGACUGAGACACGGCCCAGACUCCUGCGGGAGGCAGCAGUGGGGGGGAUUGCACAAUGGGCGGAAGCCUGACGCAGCGACGUCGCGUGAGGGAUGGAGGCCUUCGGGUUGUGAACCUCUUUCUCCGGUGGUGAAGGCCCUGUCCGUUGCGGCGGGGUUGACGGUAGCCGGGUAUGAAGCGCCGGCUAACUACGUG